rnacentral:misc_RNA from 1 species
GUGAAUUGAAUAUGUUAGCGGACCUCUUCGGAGUCCCUAGCAUCAAAUCAUAUCCAUAACACCUGUGAACUGUAAAGGCUGUCUUGAAACACGAAAGUGAUUAGAGCGCCUGCCCAUUUUAUACAAACAUUAAAGUAACAAACGUAGUCUUAUUAUAAUCUAAUA